rnacentral:tRNA from 1 species
GCCCUGCAGUGGAAUCACGUCGAAUUGCAAAUUCGGAAAAGCAACUCAGAGUGCCGGGGCU